AUCCGGCUGACAAGUCCCAAACAGGACGAAACGCGCGUUCUGGAU
rnacentral:hammerhead_ribozyme from 1 species